CUUGGUUUCCCCUCCAUGAUACCUCUCAAACAGCUUACAUAGUCGGUGUUGCUGGAUGGGGUACCGGUCUAAAACUCGGCAGUAACCCGGCUGCUAUUACCUAGUUAACUCAUAGAGCACCUGGAAUAGGCCUCUUUUGGCUUAGAACCCUUUAGAAUUCUGGAGAGUUUUGGAGCUUGAAGGUGUAUUUGGACUCAUAAGCUCGGUUUGGACUAUCUACGUUUUUACGGUGUAGAUUCAAUUACAGACAGCGAUCAGGGCUGAAGUUGGCUUCAAAUGGUUUAAGAAAAGCUACUAGGAUGGACUCCAAACAAAAGGAUGAUACAAAUGUUGUCACUACUAAUAUUGCAUUAGCAUUGGCAGAGACUUCACAGCGAGGUGGUUCAUCAAAAAAAUAUUGGAUCAUGA